AGUGAACGCUGGCGGUAGGCCUAACACAUGCAAGUCGAACGGCAGCACAGUAAGAGCUUGCUCUUACGGGUGGCGAGUGGCGGACGGGUGAGGAAUACAUCGGAAUCUACUUUUUCGUGGGGGAUAACGUAGGGAAACUUACGCUAAUACCGCAUACGACCUACGGGUGAAAGCAGGGGAUCUUCGGACCUUGCGCGAUUGAAUGAGCCGAUGUCGGAUUAGCUAGUUGGCGGGGUAAAGGCCCACCAAGGCGACGAUCCGUAGCUGGUCUGAGAGGAUGAUCAGCCACACUGGAACUGAGACACGGUCCAGACCCCUACGGGAGGCAGCAGUGGGGAAUAUUGGACAAUGGGCGCAAGCCUGAUCCAGCCAUACCGCGUGGGUGAAGAAGGCCUUCGGGUUGUAAAGCCCUUUUGUUGGGAAAGAAAAGCAGCAGGUUAAUACCCUGCUGUUCUGACGGUACCCAAAGAAUAAGCACCGGCUAACUUCGUG
rnacentral:rRNA from 1 species